rnacentral:rRNA from 1 species
AGCAGCCGCGGUAAUUCCAGCUCCAAUAGCGUAUAUUAAAGUUGUUGCAGUUAAAAAGCUCGUAGUUGAAUUUCGGGGUCAGCAGGUUGGUCGUGCCACUGGUAUGCACUGACCUCGCUGAUUCCUCCCUCUUGUAGAACCGUAAUGCCAUUAAGUUGGUGUUGCGGGGAAACAGGACUGUUACUUUGAAAAAAUUAGAGUGUUUAAAGCAGGCUAACGCUUGAAUACAUUAGCAUGGAAUAAUGAAAUAGGACGAUCGAUCCUAUUUUGUUGGUUUCUAGGGUUGACGUAAUGAUUAAUAGGGAUAGUUGGGGGCAUUAGUAUUCAAUUGUCAGAGGUGAAAUUCUUGAAUUUAUUGAAGACUAACUACUGCGAAAGCAUUUGCCAAGGAUGUUUUCAUUAAUCAAGAGCGAAAGUUAGGGGAUCGAAGACGAUCAGAUACCGUCGUAGUCUUAACCAUAAACUAUGCCGACUAGGGAUCGGAUGAUGUUAAUUUUUUAAUGACUCAUUCGGCGCCUUACG